rnacentral:sRNA from 2 species
CGUGCGCAUGUGCCUAAUCCCGCAAGGGAGCCGGGGAACCACCAACCUUGGGGUGAAUCUCGCGUAAGCCGUCGUGGCAGCACGACCGGUAUACGCGCGUAGGAGACCUUCCUGCUCCGAACCCGUCAGCUAACCCGGUAGGCGAGAAGGAAGGAAGGA